rnacentral:rRNA from 1 species
UUAGAGUUUGAUCCUGGCUCAGGAAAGUCGUAACAAGGUAGCCGUAGGUCGUAACAGGGUAACCAUAGAGUUUGAUCCUGGCUCAGGUGAAGUCGUAACAAGGUAGCCGUAAAGUUUGAUCAUGGCUCAGGAAAGUCGUAACAAGGUAGCCGUAAGUCGUAACAAGGUAACCGUAGAGUUUGAUCAUGGCUCAGGAAAGUCGUAACAAGGUAGCCGUAAGUCGUAACAGGGUAACCGUAGAGUUUGAUCCUGGCUCAGCCUUUGACUUAAAAAAAUGGAGAAGUCGUAACAAUGUAACCGUAAGUCGUAACAAGGUAACCGCAAGUCGUAACAAGGUAACCGUAGAGUUUGAUCAUGGCUCAGAAGUCGA